CCGCCCCGCCUCCUCUCCCUCGACCGAGCGCCUCCCACCUGCCCUCUCGCGCGGUCCUCUCCCUCGCCGUCGCCGCAGCAAUCUCCUCCCUGUCUCGCUUGCCGACGCCGCCCUCGCCCUCCGCGUCUCGCUCGACGACCACGCCGGGCCGCCGUCCCGCUCGCGCCGCCCUCGCCUCCCCAUCUCGCUCGCCGGCGCCGCCGCCACGCCCUCUCCGCCCCAUCCCGCUCACCGGGAACGAGCCCCCUCCUCCUCGGUCUCCCGGCGCGGACCAAGCGAGGCGCGGUCCGCGCGGCCGCCGUCCCUCGCCUCCGCUCCUGCAGCCGGACACGGUCUCCGUCUCGCUCGACGACCUCGCCGCGCGGCUGUCGUCCCCGGCUGCCGUCCGUGCCACCGCUGCGCCGCCCCCGGCAUCGCAGAUCCACGUUGUACGUGCCGCCGCUCUCCUGUCCCCUACCGCCAUACGCGCCGCCGCAGCUCCAUCGCCGUCCGCCGUACGCGCCGCCCCCGGCGCAUGUUGGAGCUGAAAUGCAGCUGGCGGAGGCAAGGGCUGGAGGAUCCAGCAAGGCGCAGCUCGGAGCGGAGGAGGACGGGGUGGGGCGGAUCUGGCGCAGGAGGCGGGAGCUCCGAUGCGGUGGCACGGAGGGGGCCGCUCGCCGCUGACCUGGGCGAGCUCGAGCCCCAGCAAUCUCUUCUUGCUGUGUUCAUAGCCCAGGGCUUGCAUAGGUUCAAGAAAGAAAAUUGCAAUCUCAUCAUUGUGGGUGGCAAGAUUCAGAAGCAACAUUAUGUGCACUUGAAAUUUGCAGUUCUGGCUUUCAGCAUUUCCCCGAAGAAACCUAGCUAAAUUUCACCACAAAUCUUAUUGACAGUAAUAUUAGCUAGGCUGCAUUUGAUCAGAUGCAAGCCUUUAAACCAAAAAUGUAUGGUCACCCUAAAAAAGGUGGUACUCUUAACUCUUUAUACUAAGGAUGUUUAUAUUUACUAUAUGAUCUUCCCUUCCCUAUGCUUCAAGCAAUUGGUGAAAUACAGGUCAUCAACCCUAUCAGCAAAUGGCUCAGUUCUACAUAAAAAAUGCUUUGCAAAAAUGGCAUCAGCGAAAGAGAUAUUCCAGGCCAUGUCAGGCAAAUUGCUCCAAAGUUUUAGGAUGGAAUUACGGCAUUUGCAACAGUCCAAUUAUUGAGGAGAUACGUGGCUUAGGGAUGAUAAUGGGAACUGAAGUCACCAAUAACAAGUCACCAACUGAUCUAUUCCCCUGCUGAAUGGGUAAUUGGUGCAAUCUUUGGGCAGGAGUGCCAGAAGCGCGGCAUGCUGGUGAGGGUUGCCGGCGACGCUAUCAUGAUGUUGCCGACACUGAUCAUGACACCUAGGGAAGUCGGCGAGGUUGAUGAGCUGAUGAGAAUCUAUGGGGAAGCCCUUAAGGCCACUGAGGUGAGGGUGGCAGAGCUGAAAUCCAAGAGGAAUUAGGCAAUUAGCCAAGCACGACGAAGAUGACGGUAAACAUCAGGCAGCGAUGAACACAUGUACAGAAGAAUAAGUUCAGGGUUGGGAGAUGGCAAUAAUGCUGCAACGGGCACUACUCUUGAAGGGCAACAACUGUGCAAGGUAGCAGCUGCUCUGUCACUGUCUCACUAAGCAAUCUCUUUUAGUGAGAGAGACAUCAUCCAUCAACAUAGAUAGGACUAUUUGUUGACAUAUUUUAGUUUAUUUUAUUACCAAGGGUCCAAGGCACGCCAGGAGGCUUACUCCAUUCAUGUUUAUUCUAAGAAAAAUGACCUGCUAUGGUUCCCUUACGUUUUUGCUAACCUCAUUUCAUAU